UGGGGAAACCCGGCCCGUAUGGGUCAUCCCUUGCUGAAUACAUAGGCAAGGGAGGCGAACGCAGUGAACUGAAACAUCUAAGUAGCUGCAGGAAAAGAAAUCAACCGAGAUUCCCAAAGUAGUGGCGAGCGAAAUGGGAACAGCCUUGUCCUCUUUAGCAGUAUUGUUAGCGGAACGGAAUGGAAAGUCCGGCCAUAGUGGGUGAUAGCCCCGUACGCGAAAACAGUAUUGUGGAACUAGGUGUACGACAAGUAGGGCGGGACACGUGAAAUCCUGUCUGAAGAUGGGGGGACCAUCCUCCAAGGCUAAAUACUCGUGAUCGACCGAUAGUGAACCAGUACCGUGAGGGAAAGGCGAAAAGAACCCCGGGAGGGGAGUGAAAUAGAUCCUGAAACCGCAUGCAUACAAACAGUCGGAGCCUGGAAACGGGUGACGGCGUACCUUUUGUAUAAUGGGUCAGCGACUUACAUUCAGUGGCAAGCUUAACCGAUUAGGGAAGGCGUAGCGAAAGCGAGUCCGAAUAGGGCGUUCAGUCGCUGGGUGUAGACCCGAAACCAAGUGAUCUAUCCAUGGCCAGGUUGAAGGUGCGGUAACACGUACUGGAGGACCGAACCNCACUAACGUUGAAAAGUUAGGGGAUGAGCUGUGGAUAGGGGUGAAAGGCUAAACAAACUUGGAAAUAGCUGGUUCUCUCCGAAAACUAUUUAGGUAGUGCCUCGUGUCUCACCUUCGGGGGUAGAGCACUGUCAUGGGUUGGGGGGGUCUAUUGCUGAUUACCCCGCCAUAGCAAACUCCGAAUACCGAAGAGUGCAAUCACGGGAGACAGACAUCGGGUGCUAACGUCCGGUGUCAAGAGGGAAACAACCCAGACCGCCAGCUAAGGUCCCUAAGAUUGGCUAAGUAGGAAACGAAGUGGGAAGGCUAAAACAGUCAGGAGGUUGGCUUAGAAGCAGCCACCCUUUAAAGAAAGCGUAAUAGCUCACUGAUCGAGUCGUCCUGCGCGGAAGAUGUAACGGGGAUAAGCCAGUCCCCGAAGCAGCGGAUGCACGUAAGUGCAUGGUAGGAGAGCGUUCUGUAAGCCUGUCAAGGUGUCUUGUAAAGGAUGCUGGAGGUAUCAGAAGUGCGAAUGCUGACAUGAGUAGCCAUAAAGGGGGUGAAAGGCCCCCUCGCCGUAAGCCCAAGGUUUCCUACGCAACGUUCAUCGGCGUAGGGUGAGUCGGCCCCUAAGGCGAGGCAGAGAUGCCUAGCUGAUGGGAAGCAGGUUAAUAUUCCUGCACCGUCGUAUGAUGCGAUGGGGGGACGGAUCGCGGAAGGUUGCCCGGGUGUUGGCAGUCCCGGUCCCUACAUUGGAGAUGGCACUUAGGCAAAUCCGGGUGCGGAUUCAAGGGUGUCGGGCGACCGACGCUAGGUCGCGAAGCAA
rnacentral:rRNA from 1 species